rnacentral:lncRNA from 1 species
AAUCGAAUCUACUCUCCAAACAUUAAAGGUUUACUAUCUUGGAGGAGAUUCACAACAAUGAAAGCAAGGAAUACAAAACUGCAAAAAAACAAAACUUAAACCGAAAAAACAGAAUAAAUGCAGAGGAUUCACUGGAAUCAACGCAGAGCCCCCCAAAGCAUCAUGUUGCAAGGGCCAACAUUAACCGGAACACAUCAAUCCCGGAGUGUUAAAAGGACGAAGUCUCCCUGGUUUAUGUCACACCUUGUACAGUGGUGGAUUUCUGGAGGAACGUCUGGAGAGGCAGGCACUGCCUGAAGAGGGGCUGGGAUAAUGAUGUGAU